GCACCUGAAUCUUUCCCAUGCCUUGCGGAAUCAGUGUGGGCCUGGGGACAUGUGGUGCUAUAACAAGGCAGAGAGCAUCUAGGCAGCCACCUCCUUCUCCUGUGUGGGCUUGCCUCUACCUCUUUGCAACACUG